GUAUUCAGUGGCACAGAUACUAAAUUUGGAACAAUAUAGUUAAGAUUGGGAUGGCCUUGCACAAGGAUUACACACAAAUUUAGGAAUUGGUCCAUAUUAAA
rnacentral:snRNA from 1 species